rnacentral:rRNA from 1 species
AGUGAACGCUGGCGGUAGGCCUAACACAUGCAAGUCGAACGGCAGCACAGUAAGAGCUUGCUCUUACGGGUGGCGAGUGGCGGACGGGUGAGGAAUACAUCGGAAUCUACUUUUUCGUGGGGGAUAACGUAGGGAAACUUACGCUAAUACCGCAUACGACCUACGGGUGAAAGCAGGGGAUCUUCGGACCUUGCGCGAUUGAAUGAGCCGAUGUCGGAUUAGCUAGUUGGCGGGGUAAAGGCCCACCAAGGCGACGAUCCGUAGCUGGUCUGAGAGGAUGAUCAGCCACACUGGAGCUGAGACACGGUACAGACUCAUACGGGAGGCAGCAGUGGGGAAUAUUGGACAAUGGGCGCAAGCCUGAUCCAGCCAUACCGCGUGGGUGAAGAAGGCCUUCGGGUUGUAAAGCCCUUUUGUUGGGAAAGAAAAGCAGCAGGUUAAUACCCCGCUGUUCUGACGGUACCCAAAGAAUAAGCACCGGCUAACUUCGUG